GACGAACGCUGGCGGCGUGCUUAGCACAUGCAAGUCGAACGGAAAGGCCCUGCUUUUGUGGGGUGCUCAAGUGGCGAACGGGUGAGUAACACGUGAGUAACCUGCCCUUGACUUUGGGAUAACUUCAGGAAACUGGGGCUAAUACCGGAUAGGAGCUCCUGCUGCAUGGUGGGGGUUGGAAAGUUUCGGCGGUUGGGGAUGGACUCGCGGCUUAUCAGCUUGUUGGUGGGGUAGUGGCUUACCAAGGCUUUGACGGGUAGCCGGCCUGAGAGGGUGACCGGCCACAUUGGGACUGAGAUACGGCCCGGACUCCUACGGGAGGCAGCAGUGGGGAAUAUUGCACAAUGGGCGGAAGCCUGAUGCAGCAACGCCGCGUGCGGGAUGACGGCCUUCGGGUUGUAAACCGCUUUCGCCUGUGACGAAGCGUGAGUGACGGUAAUGGGUAAAGAAGCACCGGCUAACUACGUG
rnacentral:rRNA from 1 species